CAUUAUUGGCUUCAUAAUAACUUCAGCUGAAUGGAGUCCAUGGAUACUGUGCAAAUUCAGGCAACAGAAAAUCCUCUACUUGAGUUAGGGCUUUUCCCCAUACGGACCACAGCAUACCCCAAAUUAUCACACAUCACUGCAAUAUCACAAGUCAUUCUGUCCUAACCAUCUCUUCUUUGUUUGUCUUGGCUUCAGGUGAGUGGGCCAGCUCUAGUUCUCUAGCUCCUCAGGCUCUGCCCACAGCCGCCUCACAGAGUAAGACUCAACAGAUCUCAAGGAAACACACUACAAGUGUGACUUAGAGACCCAUCCUUAAAUGGUAUGUCACAUUUUGGCACUUCUUACCAGGUACCGCUGU
rnacentral:lncRNA from 1 species